rnacentral:rRNA from 1 species
UGGGGAAUUUUGGACAAUGGGCGAAAGCCUGAUCCAGCAAUGCCGCGUGUGUGAAGAAGGCCUUCGGGUUGUAAAGCACUUUUGUCCGGAAAGAAAUCCUUGGCUCUAAUACAGUCGGGGGAUGACGGUACCGGAAGAAUAAGCACCGGCUAACUACGUGCCAGCAGCCGCGGUAAUACGUAGGGUGCAAGCGUUAAUCGGAAUUACUGGGCGUAAAGCGUGCGCAGGCGGUUUGCUAAGACCGAUGUGAAAUCCCCGGGCUCAACCUGGGAACUGCAUUGGUGACUGGCAGGCUAGAGUAUGGCAGAGGGGGGUAGAAUUCCACGUGUAGCAGUGAAAUGCGUAGAGAUGUGGAGGAAUACCGAUGGCGAAGGCAGCCCCCUGGGCCAAUACUGACGCUCAUGCACGAAAGCGUGGGGAGCAAACAGGAUUAGAUACCCUGGUAGUCCACGCCCUAAACGAUGUCAACUAGUUGUUGGGGAUUCAUUUCCUUAGUAACGUAGCUAACGCGUGAAGUUGACCGCCUGGGGAGUACGGUCGCAAGAUUAAAACUUAAAUGAAUUGACGGGGUCAUGCUGUUUCCU